GACGAACGCUGGCGGCGUGCCUAAUACAUGCAAGUCGAGCGAUGAAGCUUUGUGCUUGCGCUCAUUUGAAGAGCAGCGAACGGGUGAGUAACGCGUGGGGAAUCUGCUUUUGUUUGGGGGACAACAUUUGGAAACGAAUGAUAAUACCGCAUAAUAACUUUAAACAUAGGUUUUAAGUUUGAAUGAUGCAAUUGCAUCACUCAAAGAUGAUCCCGCGUUGUAUUAGCUAGUUGGUGAGGUAAAGGCUCACCAAGGCGAUGAUACAUAGCCGACCUGAGAGGGCGGUCGGCCACAUUGGGACUGAGACACGGCCCAAAAGUCUACGGGAGGGAGCAGGAGGGAAACUUCGGCAAUGGACGGAAGUCUGACCGAGAAACGCCGCGGGCGGGAAGAAGGGUGUCGGGUCGUAAAACUCGGUUUGUAGAGUAGAACGUUGGUGAGAGUGGAAAGCUCAUCAAGUGACGGUAACUACCCAGAAAGGAACGGCUAACUACGUG
rnacentral:rRNA from 1 species